ACAUGUAGGUAUCUGCCCUUUGGCCUGGAAUAACACGAGGAAACUUGUGCUAAUACCGGAUAAGUCUUUACGGAGAAAGCUUUAUGCACCAUUGGAUGAGCCUGCACUUGAUUAGUUUGUUGGUGGGGUAAUGGCCUACCAAGACUGUGAUCAAUAGCUGAUUUGAGAGGAUGAUCAGCCACAUUGGGACUGAGACACGGCCCAAACUCCUACGGGAGGCAGCAGUGGGGAAUCUUGCACAAUGGAGGAAACUCUGAUGCAGCGAUGCCGCGUGAGUGAAGAAGGCC
rnacentral:rRNA from 1 species